rnacentral:rRNA from 1 species
UACCUGCUAGCUGUGACGUUACUGACAGAAGAAGCACCGGCUAACUCCGUGACAGCAGCUGCGGUAAUACGGAGGGUGCGAGCGUUAAUCGGAAUUACUGGGCGUAAAGCGUACGCAGGCGGUUUGUUAAGCGAGAUGUGAAAGCCUCGGGCUUAACCUGGGAACUGCAUUUCGAACUGGCAAACUAGAGUGUGAUAGAGG